AACUGUAAUUACGAAAGAGGACAAUGAGCUAUAUGGCUCGAGCUUGGGGCUCCAUACAGUUUCAAGAUAAGGCCUUCCGAACUUAUGGGUGAAAUUUCCUACCAAAGGCAAGUAUUAACAAAAGAGGCAAUGACUAGAGGAUGUAUCAUUUUUUCCAUAUAAUCAAAAUUUGAUCUGGUUAAUUAGGUAAUUGACAAAAAAAGGUAUUAUAUUAUGAGCGGAAUUUGCGUAUCAAGAGGUGCUUAACUAUCAUCGUGUAUAUACCAAAAUAUAUGAAUUUGGAAUAGUAGAAUGAAGAGAGUUAACCAAAAUGCUAAGGUAAAUAUUUUUUAAAUAAUGAUAGUAAAAAAUAGAAAAAAAAUUUAGGUUAACACUUUUUAGUUUAUUUUCACAAAAUAGCAUUUAAAGAGGAAAAUGACCAAAAUAAGUUUUAUUAAAUGGUUUAAGUACAUAUUUAUACCACAUGAUUAACUAAUUUAAACUUAAGAUUUAGAGUUAAAGGAUGGAGUUUUAAAGAUAAGGUUUCAAAUUUUAAGAAUAAUAAAUAAAUAUUAAAAAUUCUAUAAUAAAAAAGAUUAUUUUGAUCAUUUUUCUUUCGAAAAGCUAUUUUGUGACAAAAAUUUAAAAUGAUUAUUUGAAAGAAUUAACCUAAAAAUAUGAAUUACAAUUUCUUUAACUAGUUGUAGUUUUCUAAUUUGUUAUUUGUUUUACACACACAAUGUAAACAGCACAAAAAUUAUUUAACAAAUUUUACAACUCUAUAAUAGCUCUACUAGUUGAAUCGAUCUGGUCAGAGUCGGAGUAUUUAUUUCCCAUAUUAAGGCCUGUGAAGAAGAUUUAAUUUCCCAUCGACACUUGGACAGAGUGUUAAGCGACAUUAUGAAGCUAAAAAUAUGCCUUUUGGUUCCUGCUCUGAUGGAAUUAUAUAUAACUCGGUCUGAAAUCUCAUAGUUAAUAACAUAUACAGUAGCUAGCACAAGAUAAAGAGGUUAAAGAUUUAAUAGUUUUUUUUGUUUUAGUGCUAAUAGUUUAGUUCUGUAAAUUUGUUGCUAGAUACAAGACAAUAAACUCUAAAGAGAUUUUAUUGAUGAGUAAUUGAUACCAAAUGUGAAGAGCAUAUGGCUGUGAAUAUAUAGAGAUAUGCUUUAGCUAGAGACCUAGAGUGGAUAGGGAUAAAUGUACACUGCACCACCUCCACAACUGGAUAUUUCGAUUGUACGGAAAACCGGGUCUGGAGAAGCGAAAAUUGUUCCUUUUUUUUAAUCAAAAUUUUGUUCUAAUUAAAAAUAGUUAAUUUCUGAGUAAAGCAAGUUUGUGGAUAAAAAUACGAAUAAAAUAAAUGGUUUAUGCCAAACAUUGAUGAUGUUGCAAAAUCAGCGCUCUUAGCAGAUUUAAAUAUUUUAGGUUAUAUUCUGAUAAGUCUGGCUGUAUAACAUAAUUAGAGUAAAAUAGUAAAGGUGGAAAAUUUUAGCUGGUUUGCUCUCGUUUAAACCAAUCAAAAUAAUAAAUACAGAAAUCAUUUCUGCCAUUUUGUUCCAAAAAUGAGAAUAAAGUAGAGUAAAAUUUCUUUCACCUCGGAUGAAGUAAAAAUGUUAUUUUUCUUUCAGUUUCAGCUCAUUUUCACCUUUUUCACAUUUUUCAUCUGUUAUAUAACCAAUCACACCCGAUAUAUAUUGCUAGAUACUAUGUACAUUAUGGUUAGUAAGAAUGUUUAUGCCAAUACUGAUAAUGUUGAUAUAUACCUGAUGAUUUAGUUAGUGAAAAUGAACGAAACUUGUUUAUGCAAAAUAGACAAAGGCAAUUUGGAAAUUUUCUUGAUUUUCUUGGGGGGUAAAAUUUGCUGAUUUUUAUUUAUUAAUUCAUCAACUUCGAAAUUGUUCCUAAUUUCAAGAGAUAGUAUCAAGAAGAGAAAAACAGCACUUUAACAAAAAGAGAACAGAAGAGCAUCUAAUAAUAUAUCGACUGAAAAAAUUCUUUUAGUUUUGUCGACAGCUUUAGAAGUCUAUCGUUUACUUUUUUAUUAGGAAGGUGGCAUCUUCAAUUAUACUACUUUUGAUAUAAAAUUUGUUUAUAUAUAUUUUUCUCCUCUCUUUUAAAGACGAGAGACUCGAGUCAUUUUCACUUUAAAGGUAAUUGUGAACUAUUGCAAUAAAAUAACAAACUAACAACCUCUUUUCCCUUCUAAUUAAGUAUUGUGAAAAUAAGGAUGCCUAUGAUAGUUUUAGGAUAAGUUCAUAGAAGAAAAGAAAGAAUUCUAAACUGUAUAAGUCAGUGUGUGUUAAGCGUAUAAUCAAUAAAAAAUGGGUGAAAACGAUUUUUAAGAAAGUUAAUCGCUUCUACUUUCUACAUACCUACUUCUGAUUCUGCUUAAUCUAGAUAAAAACAAAUGGUGACAUUAUUAUAGCGUUUUGGUUUCUGAUGAAAACGUCAUAAUAAACGAGUGCAGGGGUAAAAAAUAUCCAAAAUGCCAACAAAAGCAAUGCAUAUAAAUUGAUUUUAGUUUACAAAAAAAUAUAUAUAUAUAUAUAUAUAUAUAUAUAUAUAUAUAUAAAAAUUGAUUUUUAAUAUAAGAUUUGAUUACUUAUGUGUAGUUGACGAAACACUCACACACUUCACUGUUUUUGGAAACUUUGUUCGUGAUACUCAGGGUUUAGUUUGAUUGAUCCAAAUAAAGUAUAAGAUACAUUACUACAUGAAAUGAAUGAAUGAAUGUAAAUUGCGAUUUUACCAAGGGCUAAUAGGAGGUAUAUAAUUGGCCUAUCAUUCAAAAUGUUAAAAUACCCAUCAUCCAUGCAAUUUGCCACUUGGAUGCUGCAUGUUGAAUUUGAUCUCAGAAUGCAAUUUUUCUUAGAGCUCUUAUGAUUGGUUACUCGCAUAGCUAGGUUUCUUCUAUUAACUCCCCAUCAGCAUCCAUAGGCUUUGUGAUUUGAUAGAUUCUUUUCAUAUUUCUGUACCUAUUUCCCUACCUAUCCAUCUAAUACAAUAAUUUUAUCACCAAAUAAUGCAACCCGAUAUAUAUACAUACAUGGUUUUAUUUUAAAAUUUGUCUAUACCUACUACUGUCUAAUAUGCAGCUUACGUGCUGAACUUAUUUAGUAUCCGUGUCAGCCAGUAGCUAUUUACCUAGUGACAUCUCCAACCCAAAUGCAAAACACUAGUAUCUUUAACUCAACUGCAAAAUAAUAUUUUAGUAUUAAUUUUACAUUAAAACAUUCUUCAAUCCAACACUAAAAUUCACAUCAUUUUAGUGUAACACUAUAAGUUCACAUCAAAUUUGUUGUGAUACUGUUCACCAUACUAAAACAUUAUUCACUUAUUUUAUUAAUAAAUUAUAUUAUUGAAAACGAAAAUUAAAAAAUUAAAUAAAUAUAAUAUUAUAACAUAGUUUUUAGUGUGAAGUUUUAGUGUUGUGGUCGGAGAUGAAUUCGCUUUUAGUGUUUAAACUACACUAAAAUUGUAUGGUUUUGACACUAAAAUAGUGUUAUGGGUUGGAGAUGCUCUACAUAUUUUUUUUUUGGUGCAACAGCAAAACAGAUAAAGUAUAUAUUUUCUAUCAUUUGUAGAACAGCUUAGAGCAUUGUUAAAGGUAGAGUUGUUAAAUUGGGUAUCUAAAUAAUAAUAUAUCAAUAUUUACUGAAAAAUCUUAUAGAUAAUUAAAUGUUAUUUUUUCUUAAAAAAGUGUUAAUCAGAAAAUGACACUUGGUUUUGUAGUUUCUAAAGUUUUGGAUGAUAGUAUACUAAACCAUUAUCUGCAGGAAACUAUUGUGGUGUUUUAAAAUUUUCUCUCCUACUUUAAUUUUUUUUUUGGUCAAACUUUUUUGCAUUAACUUAAAAAAAAAUUUAAUUAUACUUUUUAGUUGAAACUCUUUAUAAGAAUUUGCUGUUAAAGGUGUUCUUAGACAAAAUAAUAGUAUAUAGCUUCUCAAAAAUAUUAGUAUGAUUUAUCAUCAAAAAUACUAGUACGUUGGUUGGCAUAAUUUGCUAUUAAUAUUUAUUAACGAUAUAUACUUAUUGAUUUAACCGGUUUGUGCUUUUCAGAGUUGUAGAUAAUUAGUUACUACAUGGAUGGUAGGGGAGAUAUAAGUACAUAAAAUGUAAAACAGAACAAUUUUACAUGGUGUGAGUUUUGCAUAUUACAGCUACGUUUAGUAGUAAUUUUAAGUUCCGCAUAUUUAAAUAAAUUUCACAAACUUUGGUUUUAAACCAUGUUUUUUUUACAUAAAAAAACAUGUUUAAUGACUUGUUAAUGUUUCUAAAUCUAUAAUUAGCGAACUAAUAACAUUAAACCCAUAUUUAAUGACUUCAGUAUAUCUAUAUUUUGCAUAAAUAAUGUAACCGUCAACACAAAAUUAAAUAGUAGGAUUUUAAAAUCAUAUUUGUUUUUUUUUUUGUUUUUUGAAACACAAAAAUCAUAUUUGACUACAGAUUACAAUUUAUGGUGUGUGCUUAUUUAUUUUUUCUAAAAAUAUAAGAUGUGCUAAAGUGUCUUCUCGUUGAUGGACAUUUGAUUGACCCAUGCAUUUCCGGGCCAGGUUUGUUCGAAAAUUACCUGACACAAAGCUACGGUUUCGUAUGAAUCCAUGUAAAAAUCAAGCUUGCUUGGGUGCCUCCAUAUCACUCUUUUGGAUCUCGACCGUUGAUUCUCACCCAAAUUUACUGAUGUUUUGGGUUACUAGUUUAGCUCCAUAUGAAUUAAUUAUGACCUUGAUUCCUCGAACCAUACAUCAGAUUUGAAUUGAUAGUUAUAUCUGGUCUUAAUAUAGCAAUAAUUAUAGGCUUAUAUAUAAUAUAGCCGAGGAUACAAAUGGUUAAAAUCAAAUAACGGGGUAAUUAAGGUUAUUAUGUUGAUAUUUUAAGCUACCAUUCUUAGAAUUGAAUAUUUAUAAAUAUUAUUGCUUUUCAUAUAUCUUAGGCUGAAUUUUAAAGUUAUCUCAGAGCAAAGAAUAGCAUAUUGCUAAUUGCAUAUAUAUAGAUUUAUAUGUGAAUGCUCCAUGCAUAAUUUAAAAUCUCUGGAUAUCUUCAUAUGGAAUAUGAUGCAGAACAAAUAAUUGAUAUGAUUCGAGUUAAAUGAUUGAUAUGAUUCGAUCAAUGGGGGAAGUGUGUAUGCCCAUUCCUAGCUAAUAGGAAUCAUUUGUAGUCGCAGUGUAUAAACAUUUGGAAUCAGUGUUAAUAGGAUCGAUGUUAAAGUAAAUAAUUCUCUUUAAGUAAAUAAUUUUUUUAUUAUAUAAAGAGAUUUGCGAGUGUAUUUUAAAGAAUUGCGUACUAUCACUUGAUCAUGAUUGAGCGUAACAGAUUAUUGGUCUCAUUUAUGUAACAAAAAAAUAAAAGAAAGUAUACAACAAAGUUGUUUCUCAGAAAGAAAAAAGUAUUCAACAAAGUUAGAUACGAACAUACGUGCUAGGAAGUAAGAAAUAGGAAGUAAGAAAUACUA